CAUCGAAAUUCUCUCCCUCAACCUCUAUCGAUCAUUUCCUUCAUUCGAUCCCAAUCCCCCAUACCCCAAACGGAAGGUCGUCUCCUCCCAUCGAUUUCUGCCAAUUUACCACUAAUGAACUGCGGCUGAGUGACCGACGAACCACCACUGCACCAUCAGAUAAUCUAUCAUAACUGCUCGGUUCCUUGUUGCUCGACUCCACAUCGCUUCAAUCAUAACUUCAUCCCUGAGCAAAAUGUGAAACAUCAUUUUCUGGAACAGGCAUUGGUACAUUGCUAGACAAGUGAAAAUCCAAAGCCACGUGGUUGCAUUUUUUAAAGGAGAUGAUUGUUGUGUUUUAGUUAUAAUGUAAAUGCCACAACUCCCAGACGUAUGAUGAACCCAAAUAGUUAAUAUUAAAGAGACCCGAUCAUAUGUUAGUUGACUCAUAUAGAUUAUUUAUUGAGUGCGACCGUGUUCAAGUUCCUGUUGUUGGUGACUCAGGUUUUGCAAAUGGAAUCUUCAAUUGUGAAUUUCUUGAAGUUUGAAUUGACAACACCACCUGUUAGAUGUUUCUUGAGAAGAUCUGUGUGUGUUGCUCAUGUGGUAAGUUGCUAGAAAUGCGCAAUGAGAUUGAAGAGGAUCAUGAAACUAAAACAAGCCAAGCUCGAAGCUAUGCAAAAUAUAUAUAUUGAGAGCCAACAACAAAACCUGGAAGCUAUGAUGCAUUAUGUAUUUAUGUUAUACAAAGUGCUAGUUAGAGAUCGAGAAGCGUAGAAUGUUCAAUUUCUCUUUAAUCUACAUCUUGUGUUGACUAUAUUGUUACUUGAGUUUGAAUAACCAUCUAAAGUACACCAUUUUACUAUUAAUGAUAUGUGUUUUAC
rnacentral:lncRNA from 1 species